CCCUAGUAACUGCGAGUGAAGCGGGAAAAGCUCAAAUUUAAAAUCUGGCGGCUUAUAGUUGUCCGAGUUGUAGUCUGGAGAAGUGCUUUCCGCGCUGGACCGUGUACAAGUCCCUUGGAACAGGGCGUCAUAGAGGGUGAGAAUCCCGUCUUUGACACGGACUACCAGUGCUUUGUGAUGCGCUCUCAAAGAGUCGAGUUGUUUGGGAAUGCAGCUCAAAAUGGGUGGUAAAUUCCAUCUAAAGCUAAAUACAGGCGAGAGACCGAUAGCGAACAAGUACCGUGAGGGAAAGAUGAAAAGCACUUUGGAAAGAGAGUUAAACAGUACGUGAAAUUGCUGAAAGGGAAACGAUUGAAGUCAGUCGCGUUGUCUGGAAGUCAGCCUUGCAAUUUUGUUUGGUGUAUUUUUCAGAUUGACGGGCCAGCAUCGAUUUUGACCGUUGGAUAAAGAUGAGGGGAAUGUGGCACCUUCGGGUGUGUUAUAGCCCCUUGUCACAUACAACGGUUGGGAUCGAGGAACUCAGCACGCCUUUAUUGGUCGGGGUUCGCCCACGUUCGUGCUUAGGAUGCUGGCAUAAUGGCUUUAAACGACCCGUCUUGAAACACGGACCAAGGAGUCUAACAUACCUGCGAGUGUUUGGGUGGUAAACCCGAGCGCGUAAUUAAAGUAAAAGUUGAGAUCCCCGUUACAAGGGAGCAUCGACGCCCGGACUUGACCUUCUGUGAUAGCUCUGCGGUAGAGCAUGUAUGUUGGGACCCGAAAGAUGGUGAACUAUGCCUGAAUAGGGUGAAGCCAGAGGAAACUCUGGUGGAGGCUCGUAGCGAUUCUGACGUGCAAAUCGAUCGUCAAAUUUGGGUAUAGGGGCGAAAGACUAAUCGAACCAUCUAGUAGCUGGUUCCU
rnacentral:rRNA from 1 species